rnacentral:lncRNA from 1 species
AUGGCACCUGAGCACAAGACCAAGUUCUCCAAGAACCUGCUGUACAUGAAGUUCAUGCAAAGAAGACUGGACUCAGAAACUAAGAAAUGACUAGAAGAGGAAGAAAAUAAAAUUAGUUAAGAGCACUGGUACUCAGAUUUGCCAGAGCUUAAUAAGUAAAGAAUUUCAUAACAGAAGAGCAGCAUCUCUUGUUAUGUGAAGAUCAUUUCUAUGGAAGGAAUUUCAUUCAUCAGAUUUACUCCUGAGGUUGAGAAAUUAGUGCUUCAGGUGAAUACUAAGAACAAAGCAGAAAUUGAAGAUGAAACAGUGGAAUUUUACGUGUCAGAUGAAGAAGAAAUGGCUAGAAGAAAUGGCUAGAAUAUGAGACCUUGGUGGGGACAACAGGAAAAAAGUCUGCCAAAAAGGGAGAUCAAGCCAAUUAUGAAGACAAUGAAAAUGGAGACCUACAACUAAUUAAAGCAAAGAAAAUGUUCUUAAAGCCCCGGGAU